GAUGCAUUGGUACCACUCUAAACGUGCUAACAAACAGGGAAGGGGGCUAAAUAAUUCACCAUAUUAAACCAAAAGUUUAACCAAAAAAUCCUAGCUUGCACUUUCUGUCUGUCUUCCAUCAGAGUGCAGUUUUUCCUUGUCUUUCAUAUUUGCGUUUACUAUUGUGGAACUGGCAAAGACCUGGUGGUUGUGUGUGAAAAAGAGACAGAGA